rnacentral:misc_RNA from 1 species
UUUCCGUAGGUGAACCUGCGGAAGGAUCAUUAUUGUAUAACCGAGGUGCGAGGGCUGUCGCUGACCCGGAAGUUCGUGCACGCCCGAGUGCCCUCACACACAUCCAUCUCACCCCUAUGUGCACCACCGCGUGGGUCCCCCUUUGGCUUGUUCGGAGGGGGGCUUACGUUUUCACACAAACUUUGUAUGCAGUGUAGAAUGUAUUUUUUGUUUUUGCGAUCACGCAAUCAAUACAACUUUCAACAACGGAUCUCUUGGCUCUC